AUUGAACGCUGGCGGCAUGCUUUACACAUGCAAGUCGAACGGUAACAGGGAGCUUGCUCCGCUGACGAGUGGCGAACGGGUGAGUAAUAUAUCGGAACGUACCCAGAAGUGGGGGAUAACGUAGCGAAAGUUACGCUAAUACCGCAUACGAUCCACGGAUGAAAGUAGGGGACCUUAGGGCCUUAUGCUUUUGGAGCGGCCGAUAUCUGAUUAGCUAGUUGGUAGGGUAAGGGCCUACCAAGGCGACGAUCAGUAGCUGGUCUGAGAGGACGACCAGCCACACUGGAACUGAGACACGGUCCAGACUCCUACGGGAGGCAGCAGUGGGGAAUUUUGGACAAUGGGCGCAAGCCUGAUCCAGCAAUGCCGCGUGAGUGAAGAAGGCCUUCGGGUUGUAAAGCUCUUUUGUCAGGGAAGAAACGGUAGAGGCUAAUAUCCUUUGCUAAUGACGGUACCUGAAGAAUAAGCACCGGCUAACUACGUGCCAGCAGCCGCAGUAACAC
rnacentral:rRNA from 1 species